UGAUCGCAAGGACAUGUGGAGCGCUUAGAAGUGAGAAUGCCGGUGUGAGUAGCGAAAGACGGGUGAGAAUCCCGUCCACCGAUUGACUAAGGUUUCCAGAGGAAGGCUCGUCCGCUCUGGGUUAGUCGGGUCCUAAGCUGAGGCCGACAGGCGUAGGCGAUGGAUAACAGGUUGAUAUUCCUGUACCACCAUUAUUCGUUUUAAGCGAUGGGGGGACGCAGUAGGAUAGGCGAAGCGUGCUGUUGGAGUGCACGUCCAAGCAGUGAGAUUGAGUGUUAGGCAAAUCCGGCACUCUUAAGAUUGAGCUGUGAUGGGGAGAGGAACUUGUUCCUCGAGUCGUUGAUUUCACACUGCCGAGAAAAGCCUCUAGCUAGAAUAACGGUGCCCGUACCGCAAACCGACACAGGUAGUCAAGAUGAGAAUUCUAAGGUGAGCGAGCGAACUCUCGUUAAGGAACUCGGCAAAAUGACCCCGUAACUUCGGGAGAAGGGGUGCUCUUUGAGGUUCACGCUUCGAAGAGCCGCAGUGAAUAGGCCCAAGCGACUGUUUAUCAAAAACACAGGUCUCUGCUAAACCGUAAGGUGACGUAUAGGGGCUGACGCCUGCCCGGUGCUGGAAGGUUAAGAGGAGUGGUUAGCGCAAGCGAAGCUACGAAUCGAAGCCCCAGUAAACGGCGGCCGUAACUAUAACGGUCCUAAGGUAGCGAAAUUCCUUGUCGGGUAAGUUCCGACCCGCACGAAAGGCGUAACGAUUUGGGCACUGUCUCAACGAGAGACUCGGUGAAAUCAUAGUACCGGUGAAGAUGCCGGUUACCCGCGACAGGACGGAAAGACCCCGUGGAGCUUUACUGUAGCCUGAUAUUGAAAUUCGGUACAGUUUGUACAGGAUAGGUAGGAGCCUUAGAAGCGUGAGCGCUAGCUUACGUGGAGGCAUUGGUGGGAUACUACCCUAAUUGUAUUGGAUUUCUAACCCGCAGCACUUAUCGUGCUGGGAGACAGUGUCAGGCGGGCAGUUUGACUGGGGCGGUCGCCUCCUAAAGAGUAACGGAGGCGCUCAAAGGUUCCCUCAGAAUGGUUGGAAAUCAUUCAUAGAGUGUAAAGGCAUAAGGGAGCUUGACUGCGAGACCUACAAGUCGAGCAGGGUCGAAAGACGGACUUAGUGAUCCGGUGGUUCCGCAUGGAAGGGCCAUCGCUCAACGGAUAAAAGCUACCCCGGGGAUAACAGGCUUAUCUCCCCCAAGAGUUCACAUCGACGGGGAGGUUUGGCACCUCGAUGUCGGCUCAUCGCAUCCUGGGGCUGUAGUCGGUCCCAAGGGUUGGGCUGUUCGCCCAUUAAAGCGGUACGCGAGCUGGGUUCAGAACGUCGUGAGACAGUUCGGUCCCUAUCCGUCGUGGGCGUAGGAAAUUUGAGAGGAGCUGUCCUUAGUACGAGAGGACCGGGAUGGACAUACCUCUGGUGUACCAGUUGUCGUGCCAACGGCAUAGCUGGGUAGCUAUGUAUGGACGGGAUAAGUGCUGAAAGCA
rnacentral:rRNA from 1 species